UACGUAGGGGGCUAGCGUUGUCCGGAAUCAUUGGGCGUAAAGAGCGUGUAGGCGGCCCGGUAAGUCCGCUGUGAAAGUCGGGGGCUCAACCCUCGAAUGCCGGUGGAUACUGUCGGGCUAGAGUGCGGAAGAGGCGAGUGGAAUACCUGGUGUAGCGGUGAAAUGCGCAGAUAUCAGGAGGAACACCGAUUGCGAAGGCAGCUCGCUGGGACGUCACUGACGCUGAGACGCGAAAACGUGGGGAGCAAACAGG
rnacentral:rRNA from 1 species